rnacentral:rRNA from 1 species
AGUGAACGCUGGCGGUAGGCCUAACACAUGCAAGUCGAACGGCAGCACAGUAAGAGCUUGCUCUUACGGGUGGCGAGUGGCGGACGGGUGAGGUAUACAUCGGAAUCUACUUUUUCGUGGGGGAUAACGUAGGUAAACUUACGCUAAUACCGCAUACGACCUACGGGUGAAAGCAGGGGAUCUUCGGACCUUGCGCGAUUGAAUGAGCCGAUGUCGGAUUAGCUAGUUGGCGGGGUAAAGGCCCACCAAGGCGACGAUCCGUAGCUGGUCUGAGAGGAUGGUCAGCCACACUGGAACUGAGACACGGUCCAGACUACUACGGGAGGCAGCAGUGGGGAAUAUUGGACAAUGGGCGCAAGCAUGAUCCAGCCAUACCGCGUGGGUGAAGAAGGCCUUCGGGUUGUAAAGCCCUUUUGUUGGGAAAGAAAAGCAGCAGGUUAAUACCCCGCUGUUCUGACGGUACCCAAAGAAUAAGCACCGGCUAACUUCGUG